UCGGGAAUUUUGGGCAAUGGGGGCAACCCUGAUCCAGCAAUGCCGCGUGAGUGAAGAAGGCCUUCGGGUUGUAAAGCUCUUUUGUCAGGGAAGAAACGGUAGUAGCGAAUAACUAUUACUAAUGACGGUACCUGAAGAAUAAGCACCGGCUAACUACGUGCCAGCAGCCGCGGUAAUACGUAGGGUGCAAGCGUUAAUCGGAAUUACUGGGCGUAAAGCGUGCGCAGGCGGUUGUGUAAGUCAGAUGUGAAAUCCCCGGGCUCAACCUGGGAAUUGCAUUUGAGACUGCACGGCUAGAGUGUGUCAGAGGGGGGUAGAAUUCCACGUGUAGCAGUGAAAUGCGUAGAUAUGUGGAGGAAUACCGAUGGCGAAGGCAGCCCCCUGGGAUAACACUGACGCUCAUGCACGAAAGCGUGGGGAGCAAACAGGAUUAGAUACCCGAGUAGUCCCUGAGCGGGCUGGCAAGGCGCAU
rnacentral:rRNA from 1 species